CCUACGGGUGGCAGCAGUGAGGAAUAUUGGUCAAUGGACGCAAGUCUGAACCAGCCAUGCCGCGUGCAGGAAGACGGCUCUAUGAGUUGUAAACUGCUUUUGUACGAGGGUAAACGCAGAUACGCGUAUCUGUCUGAAAGUAUCGUACGAAUAAGGAUCGGCUAACUCCGUACCAGCAGCCGCGGUAAUACGGAGGAUUCAAGCGUUAUCCGGAUUUAUUGGGUUUAAAGGGCGCGUAGGCGGUUGGAUAAGUUAGAGGUGAAAUCCCGAGGCUCAACUUCGGAAUUGCCUUUGAUACUGUUCGUCUAGAGAGUAGUAGCGGUAGGCGGAAUGUAUGGUGUAGCGGUGAAAUGCUUAGAGAUCAUACAGAACACCGAUUGCGAAGGCAGCUUACCAAGCUACUUCUGACGUUGAGGCACGAAAGCGUGGGGAGCAAACAGGAUUAGAUACCCGAGUAGUC
rnacentral:rRNA from 1 species